AUUCCGAAGUUACUUAACGAUUGCAGUCAGUGGGCAAGAUGUUGGUCCCAGUGAUACUUUUCUUACUUGCAAGUUCUAUUUUUGAUGUACAGUGCCAAAAUAAUGAUGUUGAUUCACAAAAGCAAUUGCCGAGACUGAUUUCGGCGCUUGAUGCUUCAACUGGAAACGACAAGAGUUCAGUUUCAAAAAUACCUGCUGAGAAUGAUGGAAUAGAGAAAGUCAUUGAAACCAGUGGUGAAUCACGCC